GUUCUAGCUUUGGCAGCACAUAUACUAAAUUUGGAAAGAUACAGAGAAGAUUAGCAUGGCCUCUGCAUGAGAAUGACGUGCAAAAUCAUAAAGUGUUCCAUUGUUUU